ACGGCCUAUAGAUACAAUACCACACUGUACAUAGCUAUUCGUAUUUUUAUAAAUCGACAACGGUCAAACGUUUAUCGAAUCGGUGGACGGUUUGAGACACAUGCUUUGAAAUGUAAUGGAUGACGAUUCUGCCACUGGAUGUUAUACAAUUAAUUAUUAACAUCGUCUAUUGUUGGUCGAUUAUUAAACGAUCGUCGAUUUGAUUUUAUUAAUGAAAUGAGCAAAGUAACGGACGAUGAUGAACGUAGAAGACGCUCUUUGGAAGCAGGCAGAGAAAUGCUGGAGAAAUACAAGGCGGAAAGAAUUAAUAAAGCCAAAGGCCCGGGUCAUAGUCAAACAGACGAUGCAUCGGACGAGGAAUCUUUUCGUAUCGACAAAUCCAUUGGACGCAGAGAAUCUUACAUGCACGAGGGUGUAUCGUCGAGGGAUGUCACCCAAAGCAGCGUCAGUAUGAGCGAAGGAGAAGCCGACGGCGAUUUGGAAGGACUCGCCGGGAGGGUAGCUCAAUUGGAAGAGAUGCUACAAGGAAAAGAAGCCAUAGUCGAAGCUUUGCACGCCGAGAUAGACCACUUAAGAGCAGAGGCUUCGUCCCCUAAUUCUUCGCAGAGUCAAAACAGUAGCAUUCAUGGCAAAGAUAUUAUAUCGUUGUAUCAUACGAAGUUGCAGGAAUUUGAGAAAGCUAUAAAUAAACGUGAUAAUUUGAUAGAGGAGUUGACAUGGUCCCUGCAACAAGCACUAUCUGCCAGAGAUAAUCUUGUUACUCAGUUAAGUUCUUUAAAUGCUGUACAAAUUCCGGAUAAAGGUCGGGCUGGUACUGUAAAUAGCGCAAACAUGCAGGACAAGAUCGACGCCUUGGAAGCUACUCUAAGCAAUCAGAGAUCGAUAAUAGAAAAAUUGAACGGUCAGCUGAUACAGUCUCAAGAACGUGAACGUACAUUGGAAAUGGAGAGAGAGACUCGAAAUGCCGAGAUCAGCGACUACAAACUGCAAAUAAACAAUCUGAAUGAACAGAUUCGUUUGGGUGCAACUGACAAGAAUUUGAAUAUCGCUGAGACUUUGGAACAGCAAAAGAAAUACGAGGCGCGCGUCGAUAAAAUCAAGCAGGACAUGCAACAUAUUUUAGAAAAAUUCACGACCGAGACAAACAUAAAUACCGCACGACAUCAACAGGAAUUAAAAGAGGUGGCUGCGAAACACGAAACGGAAAUCAUGAAUAUUCAAGAGAUGUACGAGGAACGAUUGAAACAGUUUAAAGAUGAAAAUAAAGUACUAGCCGAUCGUUUGAACAAAGACUUGCCCGAUCUCGAAACCAGGCACGCCAAAGAACUUUCCAUAUUCCAAGCACAAAUGGGCCAUUAUAAAAAGACCGUUGAGGCUUUGAAGCUCGAAUUAGUAAACAGAUCGGAGUCACAGCAAACCGCGCAAACCGAACUGAGCCAGUGCAAAGCAAAAGUGAACGAGCUGAAGGUUCAAUAUGAGAACGCGCAUCAAAUACAAGAGUUGGAGCAUCAAAAAGAAAGAGAAAUGCUAGGUGAACAGAUCAAGCUGCACAAGUUACAAUUGGAAGAUAUCACGUCGAAAUAUGUUGCCGCGACCGCGAUUCUGGAAUCGAAAGAGAGCAUCGAACGUUCGUUGGAACAGGCUCUAACGAAUGCCGCGACACUAAAAGAUGAGAACGAUAGUUUGAAGUUCAAAUUGGACGACUUGUCGUCGAGAUACACCGCGGCUCAGUCGUUGAUUGAAAAUACUCAAGUGCACGAGCGAACUUUGAGCAAUCGAAUUUUCGACCUAGAGAAAUCGUUGUCCAGACUCAGCGGUAUCAACCUUAGCACGUUCAGUGGCCUAAAUGAAACAGCUUAUCAAAGUUUGGACGAAGUUGCGAUUCAAUUUCACCUGACGAAACAGAAACUCGAAGAGAAAGCGGAACUAGAAAAGCUUCUGAUCGAUAAAAUUGAGAAUCUCGAGGGCGAGGUUCGGAAAACGACGGAGGAGCUCGAGCAAGCAAAUCUGGCUAGAAAAUCGUACGAGAAGCAACUGAAGGACACAAGGAACAUGUGCGACAAGUACAAGUCCGAGCUUAACUCGUUGAAAACUCUUGAUACCGAUGGCCAGAGUUGCUCGAGAGAUUUGUUCGAAAAGACCGAGAAAGACCAACAGGAGAUUAAGCAACUGAAAAUAAAUUUGGAGCAAAAGGAAGCAGAACUCGCGGAUUCUCUGAGGCAGGUACAAGACUUGUCGCAGAAAUUUCAAAAAUCCGAUGAGGAAUGUCAGCAGCUGAAAAACGGAUUGGCCACUGCGUGGGCCCAAUGCGCGGAGGUAGAAGAGAAGUUGAAUCAAACGUUGGCGUUGAACGAAAGCAAACUCGACUCGUCUGUCCCGAUGUCUAGUCACGAUAAUACUUCGACGAUGCGAAUAAAAUUCAAUAGAACCGUAAACGAUACUACGACGUUGUCCAUCGAUGAUACGCACGAUCAAAGCAGAGACGACAACAGGCUUUUCUACGGCAGGGACGACGACUCGUCGGACACGACCGGUGUCGUGGCAUCGUUGCAGGCAAAGCUGGCAUCGACUUUGCAGGAAAACGAAAGAUUGGCCAAAGAACUGGAACGCUCGCUAGAGGCACAGCUCGAUUACAAUCGAGUUAAAGAAAAACCGGAACACUACUCGACAUCGAUGGACAACUCGAUCAUGGAGAAACAUCGUGUCGAGGAGGAGGAGGAGGAGGAGGAGGAUGAGGCUCCGUGGCAAGAGCUAAGGACCGCGCAUUCGCUGAAAGAAUCUGUGAAUCAACUCCGAGCGGAGAAAGAAUUGUUGAGAAAGGAGAUCGAUGCGUUGAUUUGUGUUCACGAUAAGCAAAUAAACGCGAUAAAAGUCGAAACUGCCUCGGAAAUUAGGAAAGUUCAAUCGUUGGUAUCGGGCGUGAAAGAUGGCACAGCGGAGCUACGUGAUCUAAAAACGGAAUUGGAGAUGCGACACGCCAAGGAGAUGGAGGAAUUGCGGACCUAUUUCGAACAGAAAUGUCUGCUGAUGGAAAAGCAAUAUUCGGAGGAAAUCUUUAGUCAGCAGUCGAAAAAGAUGUCCGACAACGACAGCGAGAUAGCAGACUUGACGGAAAGCUUGUAUUUCGGCGGUGCCGGGGAUUGCAUGAACGUUUCGAACAAUCUCUCCGAACGUAGCUCCAGGGUUGCUUCGCCGUUGGCGUUGGCGUUGGCGGACGAACAAUCGAAACACAAUACCAACGGUUUGAAUAAGUACGAGCUCGAGACAACCGUUAAAGCGUUGCAACAGGAACUGCAAAAUAAAAUAAUAGAAGUGCAGGAAGUAAAACUGCAUUAUGAAAAGAAGUUGGAGGAACAAAAGAUGACAUACGAAGGAGAAUUGUAUGGCAACAGAAGGGAACCAGAGAAACUGGAAUUCUUGCGGAACAUGGUGACUCGUCAUUGUCAAACAGAGUGGGAUGCGGGUGCGUUGGAAAACGGUGAAUUAACUCAACUGCGAGCGGCCUACCACCAUCAGUUGGAAGAACAGAUUGCGCUAGCUAAAUUGGACAUUGUCAAUGCGCUUCAAGAACAAAUUCAGGCCCUCCUGUCGGUCGAAUCGGAGGUCGAUGAUAUUUGGUCGCCAGAGUUGCUAGAGUUACGCGACAAACUGACCGGCAAUGCGAAACGCGAGAUGCAGUUGCUGAAAGAUGCUCAUGCAGCGGAAGUGCAACGGCUCAAGGAGGAAUACUCGCGCAACGUAGCCAGAAUGAUAGACCGUCAUCAAGAGGAGCUGAAUAAGAUUCGAGAUGGCGUGCCCGUCACCGAUUCGAAGAAAGUCUUGGCCCAGCUUGGAAAUUCAAAUGUUCUUGAAGAGAGGAAUAGUUUGUACAAAAUCUGUGCUACCCUGAGAACCUUGGUCGAAGAGCUACUAAAAUAUUUUCUCGUGUGCGAAGAGGAAGUCAACGAUACUCUGAUCGGCGAAAUUUUCAAGAGACAACCGCGCGACGGUGUCGGUAACGAGAGAACGUUGGAGAACACCGAGGACGUUAAAAAGUUGAAGAACGAAGAACAUGCUAGUCCAAGUUCGUCGAGAUUAAAUUCAUCCGGUUCGAGGAUUCGACGAGUUCACUUUGCACCGCAAACGACAGAAAUAAUAUCCAUAAUGAACAGCGAUAGCGAGACUUGGCAAACAAUAUUGGGAGAGAAGAACGACAUCGUCGAAAAAUUGAAAGAGGAAUUGAACAGCUGCGUGCAACGUUUGAAGUCCGAAAACGCCGAGAUUCUCGCGAUUACGAACAGAAAGGACGGGGAUUGUGGUCAAGGUGGUCCUUUCCCGAAAGAGGUCGCCUGGAUGAAUCAAAUGAACGAACAGCUCGCUUCCAAGCUGCAGGAAACGGAAUCCAUGAUUUUGAACUACGAACAGGAAACGGAGCAGCUGAAACUUACUGUUCUUGAUCUCCAAAGGAAAUUGAUCAACGUAGAAAACAAGAAAGAGAUCAUUACCGAAGGUUACGGAGAGAACGACGACGUCGGCGUAGAAAUUACCUUGCAAGAUUUCACGCAUCUACAGGAGAAAGCGAGGCACGUAUUGUCGAACGGAGGAGAAGACUGUACGGUCCUGUUGCAACUGAUAGAGGAAUUGUGUAGACAGAGCGACAAAUUGAUGGAGGAUGCCAGGAGAGAGAAAGAAGACUUGCAGCAACAGGUACCUUUAGAACCUACUCCUCCCCCAUACAUUCACAGGGUUUGCUGCUUAAAGAUUGAAGCAGCUGAUAAACAAUUGAAAGCAACACGCAGAUUCUUGGAUGAACAAGCAAGCGAAAGAGAAGUGGAACGAGACGAAGCAGCCAAACAAAUACAUCUUUUGCAGGGACAGUUGAAGGAGCGCGAACGCGAAAAGGGAAGAGACUUGCGUAUCACCUCGGAGCAGUCUACACUAUCACCUGAACCAACGUCAGAGGUACCUGUGCUUCAAACAUCUGACAUCAAUGCAACUGUGGAGGCUCUCGAGUCACAAAUGAGGGAAAUGUCAUCCCUUAUGUCCGACACAGAAGCCAGGAAGAUCGAGACCGAGAGCGAACUGAAAGCAGCCAUCGACAAGAUCUGGGUGUUACGAGACAUUAUUACAGACUUGGAGCAACAGCUACAAUCCAAAUCGGAAAAAGAGGAGUCUUUGCAGCUUCAAAUCGGUCAACUGGAAACUGUGAUCGCCGCACAAACCAAGAACCAGCAAGAGUUGGUACAGGAGCUGGACACGGUUAAAAUGGGUAGCGAAAGUAAGCAGCUUAACGAGCACAUCAAUCACUUACAGGAGGAGUUGAGGAAACACAAACUAAGUUCCGAACAGUUUAACGCGAAUUCUACCGCUCUGAAACAAAUGAAGUCGGAGCUUCGCGAAAUGCAGAUUCAGUUGGACAAGAGGAUCAAAGAAUUGGAAUCGAUACAUAUGUGUAGCUCCAAUUUAAGUCUGAGUCAACCUAGCGAGGACGUGUCGAUCAGAGAGCAAAUCGACGCGGCACGUUGCCCUACUCCGGACGAUCCCAAUUCACCGCCAAUGUUGCCGUUGGACCAGUUACUCAAGCUCAAGGAGAAGAUGUCGAAACACGCGAGAGCCGAGGAGGUUGCGUUCAAGAGAAUCAAGGAUCUAGAGAUGCAGGUGGCUGCAUUGAAGAACCAGAACGAAGAGUUGCAAGCGGAGCAGGAGAUCUUGCAACAGACCACCUCCGAACAAUUGUAUCAAAUCGAAGCGAUGCGCGGCCGUCUGGAACAGCACAAGCAGAAUGCGCCCUUCGCGCAGAGGCAAGCGACGUCGCGGCUCGAGUUGCAGCUUCACGAAGCAAAUACCAAAUUCCAAUCGUUGGAGUCCGCCGUAGCGGAGAAGGACUUGGAAUUGAGGGACACGCUGAAUCAGUUGGACAGAGUCAGCCAACUGUUGCAGGAGAAAGAAUCGGAGAUCGCGAAUGUCGUGCAGGUGGAAAGGUCUACCAUCCAGAAGCUGCGCGAACACUUGGAGAUCGUCGAGGAGGAGAAUAGAAUUUUACAAGCGAAAGUCGGCGUUCAAGAACACUCUCAACUCGAACUGCCGCGGCUGAUCGACAGCAUGCUGGCCGACAAAAACGAGGAAAUCGACCACAUGAAGGACCAGUUGUCGAAAAAGGACAAACAACUGCAACUCUAUUCCUCGUUGAACCUGGACGAGACGCAACUGAGAGAACUGAUUCGACAGACCGAACCAAAGAACAGUGCCCGUACGUUGAGCGACAUUCUGUCGAUUCACUCGGAAUGCGAGGAAACGUCGGAGGCCGUUCGUGGAACGAAUUUCACUCAAACGUUGCCAAGCGUAUCCACUUUGAGAAUUCCCACAGCAUUCGUUUCGGCCAAAAUCAUGGACGACACCGCGGCGCUUUCACCUUUGGACAGCACCGCCACCAGUAACACCGGCAAGAUCGGACUGCGUGUACCACCGUUGGACCUGGGCUCUCGUUCUCAGAGUUUAUCGGCCGCGUCGAACCAACAGUCCUCGGAAAUGGAUUUGUUGCAGCCCGCUGAACCGACCUCUAGGAACUCGGAGGAGAACGACGGCACACCGAUGAACGACAGCGAGAAGAAGAACGAGUAUGUAAUCGUCGACGAUAAAGUCGACGGCAAAGUCGACGACGAGUCGCUUGUUCGUUCGGUGUGCGUCACUCCGCACGUGAAACAUGUGGAAACUUCGAUCAACGAGUACAUCGAGGAAAUGGAAAAGUUGGAACAUCAGUUGGAGAUCGUUCGAGAAGAGUUGCGAACGAAAUCCGAAAUUUUGGCGAAACGCGAGGCAGAUUUGCUGUCGCUGCAAAAACUGUACAACGAGUUGCAGACGGAAGUUAAAGAAGUCGUGGAGACGCUUACCACGGACAAGUGUUUCUAUCAGAAUCAGUACGAGUUGUCGAAAACGUCCGAAAAUAAAAUCAAAAAGGAUCUUCUGGAGGUGGAGAACGUUUUGAAAUUGAAAACCGCAGAGGUCCAAGAGCAAAAAUGUAAAAUUCAGGUCAACGAGAAGAUCAUCAUGGAGUUGAGUUCGGAGAAUGGUAAGCUGAAGGCGGAUAUCAAGGAGAAGGAGCAACAACACGCGAACAAGUGUGCCUCGUUGUUGCGAGAGAACGCCCACGAGUUGGAGACUAUGAGGGGCAGGGUUCUCCGGCAGGACAAACAAUUGAACGAACUCAAGACCAAGAACGAGUUGCUCAAACAAGAAAUCGUCGAGUGUCAACGAGAGAUGACCGAAGGUUUGAACAACAGAGAUCAGACUAUCAGGCGACUCGAGGAAAUGGUACGACGCGUUAGCUUUUCGGAAGCAUCCUCGCCUUCGAACGAAAAGGACGAGGAGAUCCAUCAUCUACAGGAAUAUUUGAAGGAGAAGGACAAAGUUAUACGGCAAAUGAACGACGACAGCAAGAGUUUGCACAGAGCUUUGGAGACUAUACAGAAUAAGAUGAAGGAGUCCGGUAACGUGGUCGAGCUCAGAAGGAAGCUGAGAGAAGAGCAAAAACUGAAUGCCGAGCUGAGGAACGCGAUGGAUAAGCUGAACAAGGAAUUGUCGGAUUUAAAGUUGGCCACGCAGCGGUCACAGGAGGACACCGACAUCGAGGACAUGGUGCAGAGGGAGCUGAAUUUGUCGGCGCAUCUCGACAGACGGCUGAUGAAUGCGAUCGAAACCGACCAGGAAGAUGGUAUCUGUAAAGUGGAGAAUCAAGUUCAAACCAGAGGGCCUCGUCGGGAGGGCGUUCAAAGGAGCAGCGAAUUAAAGCUACAACUGAGUCAGGCGAAUAGGAUCAACGACGAAUUGAAAAAGUUGAAAGACGACUUGGAAAUCGAAAGGGGAAUGUUAAAGUGUCAGAUCGCUGAGUACGAGGGCCGGAUCUUCCAACUUAAGUCUGAUCUAGCGAUGGAGCGCGAACAGGUUGCGAAGCUCAACGAAGAAUUAUUCGCCGAGAAAAGCUUGAUUCGGAGCUUGAAGAUCCAAAUCGAGAAGGAGCAUAGAUCGAUGGAGUCCGGUCACGUGCAGGACUCGGAGUUGAUCGAGUUUCUUCAGAAUAAGCUGAAGACAUCUCUGGACAACGAGGCGAGGCUGCGCAACGAUCUUUCCUUGUUACGACAAGAACACAAAAGCCUAGAGAUACAGCUGAGUUUGAUGAAGGAACACGUACAGUCCCAACAGUCCCAGAAGUCCGACGAAUUGCCGAAACUAGCGGACCUUUUGGAAACUGAGAGGAAAAAGUAUUUGUCGGUGAUGGAAAGCUUGGAAAAGGAAGAACGUAAUAGCGCGGAACUAAAGGAUACUUUGAGGAAGCUACAAUCGGAGAAGAAUCGAUUCGAGAAACAGCUGGAGGUGGAAGUGGAGGAGAAAGAGAAAUUGAUAAGCAGCCUUGCUCUGGUCGAGGGAAUCAGGGACCAUUUGCAAACAGAUCUCGGUCGCACCAAAGAGGAGUUGAAAGCGCGGGAGGAGGAGUGCGAAUGGCUCCAGAAGAGAAUCAAGACAACGUCCGACGCGGAAAUCAAAAGGCAAGAGCAAAGGACCAGUGAACAGAAUCAGCUGAAGGGAUUGAGGAGGGAGAUCAACAAUGCCAGAGAGGUGAUGGUGGACUUGGAAGCCGACAUGAAACAGUUGCGUGAACGCGAGAUGAAACUGACCGAAACGGUGGAGAGUCUUCGGGAGAAAGAAACGUAUCUGCUUAAGGAAUUGUCCGCUGCCAAAGACGAAGAGACAAAGUUGAGGGACACGAUCGCCGAGUUGCAACAGGAAUUGAGAUCGUUCGCAGAAAGGGAACUGGAGUUAGCUAGAGAAUUGAAAAACAGGUACGGUGGCGACAAGACCGCCACGCCUACCAAAUUGCUGCAGAAGAUCAAGGAACUCGGCGACAUCAACAAAAAGUAUCUAAACGAGAAAAGCAUGCUUCAAGAGAAGCUUGUGAAAGCGCUGGAGGAUAAGGAGCAACUCGGUCAACGAGUCAAAUCGCUCGAAUCUCGUUUGAAGAGAGGCAUCGAGUCUCGCGAUGCGAACGCGGCGAUCGGUGGAGAUUGCGCGGACAAGUUGCAACACUUCUAUGGGAAAUAUAUACGAGCCGAUAGCAGACGCAAGGCUUUGACUUACCAGAAACGUUACCUGCUAACCAUCGUAAGUGGUUAUCAGAUCUCCGAGGAGAACACAUUGUCCAUUCUGGCGCAAUUGACUAGCGAACAACGAUCCUAUACCACAGCAGGCCGUCAUAAAAAGUCUCCGCGAGUACGCUUCAAGAGCGCUGCUCUGGUACUCAUCAGUAUCCAUAGAAUGAAGUGGCUGAUCGUUAGGUGGAGCAUCGGCAGAAGAAUAGGUGCCCAGACGUUGCUGUGGAACGUGGACCAGUCGUACGUGCCGGUACAGAAACUUGCCAUGGAUCAUUCUCCCCCUGUUCGAGAAAGACCUGUCGCAAAGUAGACUACCCGGCAUACAACAAUGUAAGCCGUAAGUGGAGAUCCGAACGCGUCCGAAGUUACCCGAUCCACCCCCCGGCUUCAACGGUCAUGGACUCUCGUGAACAGUCGACGAGAAUGGAAGAGUCGAGAAUCGACGUCACGACCGACGAUCGAGAACGCGGCAGCAGGAUUGUUUUUUUAAAAGGAUUCUGAUCGAGUCGGUUUUGGUACAGUGCGAAUUACUCUGACAAUGGAAAAGGAAAUAGAUUGAGCCUAAAGCAAUAUUAAAACCGGUACGUUUACGGUUACCCCAAAAAGAUAGCAAGAUAUAGCAAGAUUCUAUGGUUUCGUACACUCUCUUAAGCGUUGCCUAAUUACAAUUUUGUUGCCCAUGUUUUGUUGAACGAUGUUCGGAAAAAGUCACAUCCAAUCAUCGUUGAUGAAUGCUCGAUGGUAUUUACAUAUUUACAACAAGAUUCCAAAUCGACAUACGGAAGAACUUGAGAAGAAGACCAGUCGGAAAACCAUUAAAUCAUUUGCGAAAACAUUCUGGGAGACGAUCGUACGAAAAUAUUAGAAUGGGACAGUUUGUCAAUUCGAAUCGGUGCAUACGUUGGAAAUUGGAAUGCUUUCGUACAUAUUUGUUAUUACUAGACUGCGAAUCUUUAUGCAAAGUACAAAUUUUCCUCAUCCUCGUUCUACAUAUAAAACAAAAGUUGAAGAAAAAGGAUUCUGGAACAUCGAAUCGCCCGCGCAAACGAAAUGCAACGAUCUAUCGAUGGUCCUGCUCGAUGGAAGUGCAGCCGCCAUUUUGAUAUCGACUUUCGUAUCGUCUAUCGUCUAUCGUCUAUCGUAUAUCGUAUUACAUCGUGUAUGUCUCGUCAUGUGUAUUACAUGCUGGCAUCGUUUCGUACCAUUCGUAUCGGUAUCACAUUUGUUUUCUGUUGGAAUUAGCCGCGUUUACGACUGCUGCAGGCAUCUUUGAAGUUAGUCGCGUUGAACGGGCCAAAAUAGUCGUCGUGGAGCUGACGAAUGAUGGUUUCGAUCGGGCACAAUUUCGAAUCUUUACGAACUCUGUCGGUAUCCGACCGCUCCGUGUAACUUGCACUAUAGAAAUUGGCGUUUCUACAGAACGGUAUCUUUUGUGUAAAGUCUUUUCCAUUGACUAUCACACGGAAAUAAAAGUCGCUGGCUACAUGGUUCUCGUUUCUCGAAUUGAGGCGAUAAACCUCGAUGACGAAACGGGACGCGUAAUGCGGCAUGGCCAAUUUGUCGGAGAAGAUGCCGAGAGCGGUUGCCAGGUACUCGAGAGUUUUAUCGUGUCCCGAGUAUAAAACUAUCUUCGGCUUCGCCUCGGAUAUAAUGCGUAACAUGUACGAGACUAUGUUCCGAAGAAGCCCGUAUGCCCUUAGCAACCCGUAUUUUCGACGAUUGCUGCUUUUAGCCACUUGCUUCGACUCCCAUUCGCUAUAGGCGAACAGGCCUGUCACGUGUUCGGUCUUGACGCAGAUUCGUUGCGCCUCCAAAUCCACGCAAGGUAAAGAAGCUCCAUGGCAAACAUAGGUCAACAAUGCAUCUUUCAACGUGUUGGGAUCCAUCGUCUGUGCCUGAUCCGGGAUUUCGAAGACCGCGUUCGACGCUUGUCUUAUCAGUUCCCCAACCGCCGGAUGGGACUUUAGAUGGUCGGACAUUUCCUGAAACCGUUUCAGAUGGUCGUCAGGUUAAUCGUCGUAUCAGGAGGACAACGAUACAGGACACGCGCAGUCGGUAUUGCAAAAUGCGUAGCUUUGACUCUCCUGCAUGCUGAUCUUGGCAAGAUUCUGGAAGCCGUCGGUCUCUAAGAGCGCGUACAACAAAGCAACGGCGCUUUGAACAGUCCUACGAUACCUGGAGUUGAGAUACGCCCAGAGUGGUCAAUUGGCCAAUUCUGCAGUCCUUAGAGUUGGCCGGCAGCAUAGGAAAACCAUGGAAGGGUCCUAGGAAUUGUGCCCACGCCGUUCUGGAAUAACUGGAGAUGUUCUGAAGAAAAUUGACAUAGUUUUGAUAGACGAUUUCCAAUUCAGGGGUAGAAGCAAAGUCUCCGCCGCAGUUUACUACGCUUAUGUUUCGAACAUGACCCAACGGGCCCCUGUCUCCGUGCCGUAUAAAUACCAAAACACCGCCCAGCGUUAGAUUUCCAUCCAAUUUUCCUAGGAGAAGACAGAAGAUGGAAGAGUACGGCGAAGAAUCGGAACAUUAUCUAGUCUACGUAAUCCUCGGUACCUUCUGAUUCUGCAAUAAUUUCAUUGGGUGGAUUGCAAAAUCGGAAUAUCUUCUUGGUUUUUACGUCGGCUUUCAAAUUUCUAGGAUAUUCUCGAACGGAAACGUCGUUCCCCAGGACUCUCGCUUGUAUAGAGCUCUUCUCGUCUAUACCAAUGUAUUUGUACAUACCUGAAAAGUUUCGAGAAUAGAAUUUGACGAGUAAACGUAUAUAGGUACAGCA